rnacentral:tRNA from 1 species
GGGGCUGUAGCUCAAUGGUAGAGCACUUUCCUAGCAUAUGUGAGGCACUGAGUUCGAUUCUCAGCACCA